rnacentral:rRNA from 1 species
CAAAAAACCGUAUUGUCAAAUCCAUGCGAAGUCUUUGUAGUAUACAUGGCAGACGGCUCAGUAACGCGUAGUCCUUCUACCCUAUGGACGGGGAUAACCUCGGGAAACUGAGAAUCCUACCCGAUAGAACAUUAUGCCUGGAAUGGUUUAUGUUCCAAAUGAUUUAUCGCCGUAGGAUGGGACUGCGGCCUAUCAGUUUGUUGGUGAGGUAAUGGCCCACCAAGACUAUUACAGGUACGGGCUCUGAGAGGAGUGGCCCGGAGAUGGGUACUGAGACACGGACCCAGGCCCUAUGGGGCGCAGCAGGCGAGAAAACUUUGCAAUGUGCGAAAGCACGACAAGGUUAAUCCGAGUGGUUUCUGCUAAAGAAACCUUUUGUCGGUCCUAGAAACACCGAUGAAUAAGGGGUGGGCAAGUUCUGGUGUCAACCGCCGCGGAAAAACCAGCACCUCAAGUGGGUAGGAUGAUUAUUGGGCCUAAAGCAUCCGUAGCCAGCUCUGUUAGUUUUCAGUUAUAUCUGCUACGUUCAACGUACAGGCUGCCGGGAAUACUGCUAAGCUCGGGAGUGGGAGAUGUAGACGGUAUUCGGUAAGAAAGGAUAAAAUCCUUUGAUCUAAUUGAUGACCAACCUGUGGCGAAGGCGGCUCUUCCAGAACACCGCCCGACGGGUGACUUAUUAAAGCUUGGGGAACAAACCGGAAUAACAUACCCGGCUAGUCCCACCUGGUAACUCCUCCCUACCCAGUGAUCCCACUUGGCUCGUGGCCAAAGCCAGCGCUGCACCGGAACCCAGUAAAUCUACCGCCCUGUGCAAGUACCUU